AUAUAAGCAAAAUUGAUUUUUUAGGUUCAUUCAUUUAACGAUGUAUGUGGUUCAUAAUAUAAACCACAUACAUCGUUAAAUGAAUGAACUUAAAAAGUCAAUUUUGCUUAUAU
rfam:Medicago truncatula strain A17 chromosome 1, whole genome shotgun sequence.